AUGCAUACUGUGACCUUAUUUGUGGGUACAAAAUCUUACCGGGUGGAUUACGCGGAACUUCUGCCUCUUCUGAGAGAUGAAAAUUUGGUGACUAUCGAUACCCAUGUCAAGUGUACAACAGUCAACGAUCUUUUGAAAGUAGUGCCAAAAAAAACACUCAGAGAAUUUUUAGAAAAACGAUUAAAAUUUGAGGUAACUGCGCCAGAGGGCAGUAAAGUCGUUGUAUUUACCACUUACCAACAAUCAGUGGAAGUAUAUGAAACUAGUAUCUCGCGGAAGUAUCCGAAUCUUCCAGCCGUAGAGUACGACGAGGACGGAUUUCCGCUGAAUAUCAGCCGUUUCACGCAAAAGCGGGUUGAGUUCGAAUUAGCCAAACAAGGGUUUGUGUAUAAUUAUAGCCGGUUGGACUAUGCGAGGGCAGCCCUAAGGCAGGUUAUUUUCAAAGGAGGUAAAACCCCAUCCCCCCCUCCAUCAGGACCGCGCACGCGAUCAACUCACGGUCAAGGGGAAAGUUUUCAGGAAGGUACACCUUCCCUCGAGCGUGCCCCCACCGAAGAGGACAACCCUGUCGGGAGAAAGGCGACCGAAACGCUAGGGCGGCUGAGUUUAGAAUCAUCCUUAGGUGGGCGGACCCUAGGCGAUUCGGGGAUCGUCAAUACACCUCGUUUCUCACCUGAGUGGUUGGGGGAAGGGACGUCGUUUCUGGCUGACCGAGAAACUAAGGUAACGAUCGAAAAUUCUAGGAUUUCGGAAAGCUCAGAGGACGAGGACGUUCAGGUAGAAACCCUAGACGAGACUGCGAUAGCGCGGCCAUUGGUCCAACCACUUUUUGACGUGGCCGUUCAGAUAGAGCAUCCUGCUCCUGACAUGGCAUUAAAUCAAGCAUUAAAUCCUUUAAAGUUAGGCAUCCCUCGAUUCAAGGGGGAUCCAAGUGAGGUGGAACCAUUCUUAUCUGAAAUCAACCGUCAGAAGCAAGUUAGGGCCUGGAAUGACGCCACCACGCGUCAAAAUUUUUGGCUCAGUCUGCUGGGCCCCGCGUUGGUCUGGUGGGAAGAAAAUGAAGGGACUCUGAACGAUAAAACGUGGGCUGAGAUACGACAAUUAUGUAAGGAUCGCUUUCAACCGAGCCCUGGAACAACAAGUUGGAGAAGAUAUCAGCAGAGAGUGCAACAGCCGGGGGAAGACGCGUUGACCUAUUUCGAGGACAAGAGUCGUCUAAAAAGAUUUACAACCAUUCCGGUAGAGGAGUUGGACGAAAUCGGAUUUAUUGUGGAUGGGUUACAAGAUGAUCUAAGAGCAAGAGUGAGACAGAGGGGAAACAAUAACACGCUGGUGGCGUUGCGAGAAAAUAUCCGCGAGUUAGAAUCAGUCAUGAGGCAAGAAGGCAAACUAGGGAUAGGAGGGGGGUGCGAUCCCAGUCAUUAUAAUAGACUUGAGUCUAUGAUGAUAAAUAUUCAGCAUGACAUUGAGUCCUUGAGAAGGACGAACUCCGAACCGCAGGCAUUGGGAGUAAAUCAAUUGCUUGUAGCCGCCUUGACUAAGCUGGCAACGGCGCCGUCCCAAAUAGGUAGCUCAGAGCCCACUUGUUACCGUUGCAGGGGACCUGGCCACUACGCAACUGCAUGUACAGUUCCUGAUCAUGCCCUACCAAAAGGGAAUUCCAAGGAAUGUUACCGUUGCGGAGACCAUGGACAUUUUGCCCGUGAAUGUGUUAAUUUAGGGCCUACAGCCUCCUCACGAAAUUUCAGACCUCCCAGUAGGGGUCCUUCUCGAGAUAGGUCCGCUGAGCGCCCAAGAUCAGCUCCAUUAACGUGUCAGUAUUGCUCCGGUCUGUCUCAUACAGCGUUAUCAUGCGAUAAAUUAAAAAGGGACAUGAUGGCAGCCGAGAAAAAAAACUAG
rnacentral:lncRNA from 1 species